GACGAACGCUGGCGGCGUGCUUAACACAUGCAAGUCGAACGAGGUGGCGAACGGGUGAGUAUUUCGGGGGUAACCUGCCCGCCGUUUUGGGCUAAGCCUUGGAAACGGGGUCUACUACCGAUAAAAGGGGGUUGGGGCCGGGGCCUAUUAGCUUGUUGGUGGGGUGAUGGCCUACAAAGGCGGUGACGGGUGGACGGCCGGAGGCAGGGGACGGCCAGAAAGGGACUGAGAUACGGCUCAGACACCUACCAAAGGCGGCAGUGAGGGAUAUGGCGCAAUGGGCGAAGGCCUGGUGAAGCGAUGCCGCGUAGGGGAUGAAGGCUUUCGGGUUGUAAACCUCUUUCUCUAUCGAACAGGUAGGUGCAGAAGAAGCACCGGCUAACUACGUGCCAGCAGCCGCGGUAAUAC
rnacentral:rRNA from 1 species